rnacentral:rRNA from 1 species
UACAGGGGGUGAGCAAACAGUUUGCUCGGAAUCAUUGGGCGUAAAGCGCACGUAGGCGGUUCGUUAUGUCGGAUGUGAAAGCCCUUGGCUUAACCGAGGAAGUGCAUCCGAAACUGGCGAGCUAGAGUACUAAAGAGGAUCGCGGAAUUCCCGGUGUAGAGGUGAAAUUCGUAGAUAUCGGGAGGAACACCGGUGGCGAAGGCGGCGAUCUGGGUAGAUACUGACGCUGAGGUGCGAAAGCGUGGGGAGCAAACAGG